CGCAAAUGUGCGCAAAUGUGAAAUGUGCAUCAUGGAACUGGAAGAUGUAGCUGUUGUACACAGUUGUGGAAUAUGUCAAGAAAUUGUUAAUG